UCCUCAUUAUUUUUCUUUUCUUAUUUUUUUUGAUUUUAUUAAUUUUUUUAAUCUUUUAAAAUAGGAGUGGCAAUUUUAAUCGAUUCAUCGUGUAUCUUAUCUAAUUCGAUUCGAAUGAGGUGAGUUUUAUCCAAUUCAAUUAGAAUUUGAGACAGGUAUAGAUUUAAAAAAAAUAAAUUAUGUGGUAAAAAAGUUGUUAAGCACUGUCGAUACGGAUACGAUAGCUUAUUGCGUUAAUCAACAAUGAACAUUGAAAUAUGAUCGGAUUUUCAACCGCAUCUCUCCUUUUUUUUUUCCCAUGAGGUAAGAUGAUCCAUGGAUUUGAUCCAAGACUGGGUGGAAGGGAGAGUUCAUGCCUCUUAAUAAUCAUUUUCAUCCAGCCA
rnacentral:lncRNA from 1 species